rnacentral:rRNA from 1 species
CGACCGGCGCACGGGUGAGUAACACGUAUCCAACCUGCCGAUAACUCGGGGAGUAGCCUUUCGAAAGAAAGAUUAAUAUCCGAUAGCAUAUUGAGAUCGCAUGAUUUUGAUGUUAAAGAAUUUCGGUUAUCGAUGGGGAUGCGUUUCAUUAGUUUGUUGGCGGGGUAACGGCCCACCAAGACUACGAUGGAUAGGGGUUCUGAGAGGAAGGUCCCCCACAUUGGAACUGAGACACGGUCCAA